UGCGCUGGGGAAGCUCCCAUUACGCAGAGCGCGCGUAGGCAGCGCUGACCUUUCUGCUUCCCAGCUUCCCGGGUCCGGGUCGCUGAGCAGACGUGGUUGUGCUCUUUCCGCCUUGCUUUUGUUUUCUUGGUUUCAGUCCCUGGUUUUGCAAGUAGUUCCUCGUUCCCGGUAAGCGGGAAACGCGGACUGCGUUACCUAUGUUUGAAAUUGGGUUUACACGUUUGGAAAGCAAGAAGGGGUUACUCUGCUGGAACAGUUUGACGUUGCACGUAAGGGGUUUUAUACCUUACGGUUCCACGAGCUCCCACCGUAUCUGGUAUGUAGAAGAGAGGGACAAAGAAACGCGGAGGCUCAGGAAGGUUGGUUGCCCACCUCUUCUUUCCACCACAGAAUUCUGCCUCUAGAAAAGCAGGAGGAAGAGUAGCCACGCAAAGGAUCUAGUGGAACAUUGUCUCUUAAGGAAACUCUCUGGUGUAUGCUUCAAGAUAAAAUGAUCACAAAAUAAAUGCCUAGGUUAGCGUGGGGUUUCUGUCCAGACCGGCUGCACCAUGUCGAAGGUUUCCUUCAAGAUCACACUGACGUCGGACCCGCAGCUGCCGUACAAAGUACUCAGUGUUCCCGAAAGUACACCUUUUACAGCAGUCUUAAAGUUUGCAGCAGAAGAAUUUAAAGUUCCUGCAGCAACAGGUGCAGUUAUUACCAAUGAUGGAAUAGGAAUAAAUCCUGCACAGACUGCUGGAAAUGUUUUUCUAAAGCACGGUUCAGAACUGCGAAUAAUUCCUAGAGAUUGUGUUGGAAGUUGUUAAUGUCUGCUGCUUGGAACAUAAAAUCCCCUUCCAGAAUAAAUAUUGGUAUUUUUAUUGUUGUAAAAUUGGAGUCAGGCAUUUGAAAUCCUAUGAAAACACCAAUAGUUGAUGAAGUAAUGAAAGGUAACUCUCUGUCCCUUCUUGUUGUUCACACUCUUCACGUGAAGAGGGGACACUUCUCUGUUGAGGGUGUCAUCACCAUAGAAGAUCACAUUACUACCUCACAGCACACACAGGUGGUUCGUUGAGGGUAAAUGGAUUAUCCACCUGUAUCAUAACUGGCGGAUGCUUCUGAUCAUUCUUUCUGAGAACAUUUGGAAAAUUAAAAUUUACUGAAUCUUCCUAUUUGUCUUUGAGUUAAAAAUGUAAAAACUUAUCAAUCCAUACGUGGCAGUUUGCUUGAUAGCAUCUGACUUGCAGACACAAAAAUAGUUGAAUUCUUCAUUAUAUAUCAUUUAUGAUAAAGGAUCACAUCAAUGAAUAACUGUCUUUUUAUCAUUUAGCUUGUUUUAAAGUUUCAAACUUCGUGAGUUCUUAUAAAUUUUAAUUUAAAAUUCAAAUAGCCAAAAAUUGAAUUUUUGAUCUAGCCCCUAUGUGUAACAUUGGUAUCCCAUGCCAAAGAGUUUGAGACUAAAGUAGAAGCAUCAGUUGCUGAAUUAUGCGUUCCUUUAUUGAUCUUUUUAAAAAAACCUUUAAAACAGAAAUCCUAAUAUCCUAGAAUAUUAGGAUAAUAUUUCCAAAUAACGUUCGGGGAGAAAGUAUUGUUGUAAAGAAGAUCUGUUGUUCACAACAGAGCUCAAGGAAAUGCUAACUGAAAUGCUCACUAAUUCUACCUACUGAAGACCCAACAUUUAAGGAAGUGUUAAGAUUAGUUACUGGAGUGAAUAAGAAGCUAGGAAAGGCAGAUGGGGAAGCCCAGAUGACCAGGCUUCUAGUAAGAAGGAAAGAAACAAAAAUGAAGGGGAGCAGAAAG